rnacentral:rRNA from 1 species
CAAUAGCCGCGGGAAUACGGAGGGCGCGAGCGUUACCCGGAUUUACUGGGCGUAAAGGGCGUGUAGGCGGCCUGGGGCGUCCCAUGUGAAAGGCCACGGCUCAACCGUGGAGGAGCGUGGGAUACGCUCAGGCUAGAGGGUGGGAGAGGGUGGUGGAAUUCCCGGAGUAGCGGUGAAAUGCGCAGAUACCGGGAGGAACGCCGAUGGCGAAGGCAGCCACCUGGUCCACUUCUGACGCUGAGGCGCGAAAGCGUGGGGAGCAAACCGGAUUAGAGACCCGUGUAGUCCCUGUCUCUUAUAC